GGAAAAGGGCGGGAGGCGGCUCCGCCUCCCUGAGGGGAGCCGGGCGGGAAGGCGGGCGAGGAGCCCGGGGAGCUUCCCUGGAACACCCCCGCGGGCAUCUCGCCUUCCUGCAAAAAUCUAAUUCGGCUGGGCAGCGAGUGAUAGAGACAACUUUAUAUCAGUGGGAAAGCUGAAUAGAAGAAGAGGAAGAGCACACAAGAACUUUGUGUCUUUGGCUGUUCACGGAGAGUGGGCAGAAGAUUCCUGCCCGUCUCCACGACGAGGACACGUCCCUCCUGUUUUGUGAAGAGCAACACUUACCGUGUGCUAAUGACAGUAAAUGAUUUUCUCUAUCAGCCUUCACCCUUCCAGCUGACACACCCAGCUGCCGCUCCCUCGCUUUUGUCUUUUGCGAGUGUUGCUGUGCUGUCCUGGGGCUGAGAACCAGCAGUGAAAAUGGCUGGUUAAUAUUAAAAGGGAGAAACAAAAAAGGGAGACAAAUGUUCAGGCUUUUUGCAUACAGCAUUUCAAACGUCUGAAAGCCCCUCUCCCCUCGGGAGUCUAAUUUACAAGGGUACCUCGAGGGAUUUGUUAUCCAACGUCAGAGUUACAGCAGCAGCUCCUUGACAUGCCAAUGCCACGAUAGAGGCAUGGAAGUGUGGGAAGAACAAACCUGAGGGUUUUGGUAGCUGCUUUGUUCCAGAAAUUCCAGCACACCAAUUCCCCAAAGCCGUGCAGCGCUGGGUGAUCUCCAAGCUUCCUGUGCUCUCUGCUCACACUUCCCCAGGGGUGAUCAGCCACAUCUGGACCCACAACAUCCCAAAUCCAGAGGGGAUCAGCCACAUCUGGACCCACAACAUCCCAAAUCCAGAGGGGAUCAGCCACAUCUGGAUCCACAACGUCCCAAAUCCAGAGGUGAUCAGCCACAUCUGGAUCCACAACAUCCCAAAUCCAGAGGUGAUCAGCCACAUCUGGAUCCACAACGUCCCAAAUCCAGAGGUGAUCAGCCACAUCUGGAUCCACAACAUCCCAAAUCCAGAGGUGAUCAGCCACAUCUGGAUCCACCACACCCCAAAUCCAGAGAUGAUCAGCCACAUCUGGACCCACAACAUCCCAAAUCCAGAGGUGAUCAGCCACAUCUGGAUCCACCACACCCCAAAUCCAGAGGUGAUCAGCCACAUCUGGACCCACAACAUCCCAAAUCCAGAGGGGAUCAGCCACAUCUGGAUCCACCACACCCCAAAUCCAGGGGCACUCUGCCAGACCUUGCCUUUAGGAGUGCUCCCUGCCAUGGGCUUGGAGGUGCAAAUGGGGAUCACUUUUUCCUUUAGUAAUGGAAAAAUGCUUCUGGCAGCAAUAGGUAGGAUCCCCCAGUGACCUCUAAUGACACAGGACAUGUCCCACACUCCCUCACAGCCUCUGGCUUUGGUGUUUUCCCCAACACACAGACCAGAGGAAAGAAAGCUUGCUUUGAUGAGCACUGAAGCUGCCUUUUGUUCAUGCAAUGAAGUUUAACGUUAGGAAAUUGUAAAUUGUUUAUCUACGCUCCAUUAAAUACUGUGUU